UUUCAUAUGUUCUAUGUUAAAUUUGUUACCACACGUUGGAAUGUAAGUAAACCAUUUCAGAGCACGAUAAAAUACACAGAAUAACAACUGGAGAUAAUCUUGCGUCAGUUCGUGUAAGCACGUUAUCUUAUUUCAAAGCGUUUGCGGACUUGAUCAUUGUGGUCAAAUCAACGCUAACUGAAGUAAAAACAGGAGGUACAGCCGGUGCAUAAUAAACUGAAUCAAGUCCAUUUUUCAAAUAACAACUGUUGAUUUCUCAGACUUCCAGUCAUAAAUUCAAUCCUUCCCUGAGUAGAAAAUAGUAAUAACAUUAAAAAAAUACCAUUAUCAUUAUAAAUAAAGGAUCUGAUAGAAAGUUAUCCUAUUUCAAAGCGUUUGCCGACUUGAUAAAUCAUGAUCAAAUCAACAGAUGCUUACUUCAACGAGAUCUCAUUCAGUUGCCACGUGAUGUUGGCGAAAUUUGCUCUAUAUAAUUAUGCCUUUCAAGUUGCAGACCUAUUUAUUUUUAUAGCUCUUUGCCCAUUUUGAGUGAAGUGAGUGAUAUAGGGUCAUCGUGGCGCUUUAAUUGAUAGAUGUCUCACUGUUUUAUAAAUUGUACAAUGUUAAAGAUACUCUCACACAAAUAGAAUUGUAAUUCCAGUGGUAUAUUGUUCUCGAUGAUCUGACAGAUCUCAUUCAUUUCUAGGAAGCCAUGGUACAAAUGGAUGAAUAUGUAAACUUGCCAGCUCAGCGGCUAGCCCAACUGGUCAGAAAAUAUGUCCACCAUUGUCGUAUGUAGGAAAUUGAAGAGAGCCAAAAGAUGGACAGAUAGGAUGGAUGAGAUGGGUAAAGAGAGGUACAGACUGGCGUUGAUGGAGACAUUAGACAGUAUUGAACAAGAGUCGGGGCUUUUACUCAUCAAACCUAUGUACUCGUACAGAGGAAAGUGUGUAUAUAUAGGCAGGAGGUGGAGUGAAUUGAUAGAGAGUCAAAGGAACAACCGUACUCUGAGAAAGUAACGAGACCAUUCCGGCCACACAGAACACUCACGCCCUUACGGGAUAAUAACAGUGCUCAUGCCCCAGCCCCAACACCUGCAUCCAGUGUCCGGCCUUGAAACUUUACUAGGAGAGACAAACAGGAAAACACAACAGUCAGGUAGUGACAAUAAAGAUGAAUCAGAGUGAAACAUAUAAUAGGAUGGUAGCUGGGAGGUUUGCCCUUGUAAAUAGCAACAGCAGUGACAGUGGUACAGACUGUCCACACAGGGAUAUGUAGGACUACAUUUCUUUGAGGACGGAUUAAAAUCUAUACCAGACUAGCAGCCUCGACAGAUGUGUAUUGGAAAUUUGAACAGGGACUGAAUACUUUGAUCUGUGUGUGAAUUAGUUGAUUUCGAAUAUCUCAGCAACCAAAGGAUUUACAGUAAUGAAGAUUUACAUUCUAGUAGCUGAUAACAAUAAAAGUCAGUCCAUAAAAAGAUUUUAUCAAGGUGAUGAAUUCCAUGUGUUGGUAGAAACUUAGAAUAAAACCACCAAUCACUGCCUAGACCAGAACAAACUAUUAAGUCAUGUAGGCAGAAUCUGCAGUUCUCAGCGUAACAAGAUAGAGUAGCUGCUGUUAUUGCUGUACUACAUUUCUGUGCCGAAGGAUUAAAAACUACUCCAGACUGGCAGCCUCGACAGAUGUGUAUUGGAAAUUUGAAAAGUGACUUUGAUGUGUUGCAAACAAGUUCAUUGUUGAUGAUAGGAGCGUUAGUGCUGUAAUUUUGUUGUUAACCAAAAAUUUACCUGAAAGAAGUUAUUAAAGGUUUUA